UACGGAGGGUGCAAGCGUUGCUCGGAAUCACUGGGCGUAAAGCGACCGCAGGCGGCCUGACAAGUCGGAUGUGAAAGCCCUGGGCUCAACUCAGGAAUUGCAUUCGAAACUGGUAGGCUCGAGUACGGGAGAGGGGGGUGGAAUUCCUGGUGUAGCGGUGAAAUGCGCAGAUAUCAGGAGGAACACCGGUGGCGAAGGCGGGUCUCUGGGCAGUAACUGACGCUGAGGAGCGAAAGCGUGGGGAGCGAACAGG
rnacentral:rRNA from 1 species